rnacentral:rRNA from 1 species
UGGGGAAUAUUGGGCAAUGGGGGAAACCCUGACCCAGCAACGCCGCGUGAGGGAAGAAGGUUUUCGGAUUGUAAACCUCUGUUCUUGGAGAAGAGAAGGAGACGGUAUCCAAGGAGGAAGCCCCGGCUAACUACGUGCCAGCAGCCGCGGUAAUACGUAGGGGACGAGCGUUGUCCGGAAUUACUGGGCGUAAAGGGCGCGCAGGCUGUGCUGCAAGUCAGCUGUGAAAUGUCUGGGCUUAACCCGGGCAUGCGGUUGAGACUGCAGUGCUGGAGUGCUGUAGAGGCAAGUGGAAUUCCCAGUGUAGCGGUGAAAUGCGUAGAUAUUGGGAAGAACACCGGUGGCGAAGGCGACUUGCUGGGCAGCAACUGACGCUGAGGCGCGAAAGCCAGGGGAGCAAACGGG